rnacentral:rRNA from 1 species
UAGGGAAUCUUCGGCAAUGGACGGAAGUCUGACCGAGCAACGCCGCGUGAGUGAAGGAGGUUUUCGGAUCGUAAAGCUCUGUUGUUAGAGAAGAACGUUGGUAGGAGUGGAAAAUCUACCAAGUGACGGUAACUAACCAGAAAGGGACGGCUAACUACGUGCCAGCAGCCGCGGUAAUACGUAGGUCCCGAGCGUUGUCCGGAUUUAUUGGGCGUAAAGCGGGCGCAGGCGGUUCUUUAAGUCUGAAGUUAAAGGCAGUGGCUUAACCAUUGUACGCUUUGGAAACUGGAGGACUUGAGUGCAGAAGGGGAGAGUGGAAUUCCAUGUGUAGCGGUGAAAUGCGUAGAUAUAUGGAGGAACACCGGUGGCGAAAGCGGCUCUCUGGUCUGUAACUGACGCUGAGGCUCGAAAGCGUGGGGAGCAAACAGG